UACGGAAAAUGCGAGCGUUAAUCGGAAUUACUGGGCGUAAAACGCACGCAAACGGCUGUUAAGCUAGAGGUGAAAGCCCCGCGCUCAACGUGGGAACUGCCUUUAGAACUGGCAGGCUAGAGUCUUGGAGAGGGGAGUGGAAUUCCAGGUGUAGCGGUGAAAUGCGUAGAUAUCUGGAGGAACAUCAGUGGCGAAGGCGGCUCCCUGGCCAAAGACUGACGCUCAUGUGCGAAAGUGUGGGUAGCGAACAGGAUUAGAUACCCCCGUAGUCC
rnacentral:rRNA from 1 species